CGCCUCAAUCGAGCGAGGAUCCGUAACUUGCUCUUAUGAAGUUAGCGGCGGACGGGUGAGUAACACGUGGGUAACCUGCCCAUAAGACUGGGAUAACUCCGGGAAACCGGGGCUAAUACCGGAUAACAUUUUGAACAGCAUGGUUCGAAAUUGAAAGGCGGCUUCCGCUGUCACUUAUGGAUGGACCCGCGUCGCAUUAGCUAGUUGGUGAGGUAACGGCUCACCAAGGCAACGAUGCGUAGCCGACCUGAGAGGGUGAUCGGCCACACUGGGACUGAGACACGGCCCAGACUCCUACGGGAGGCAGCAGUAGGGAAUCUUCCGCAAUGGACGAAAGUCUGACGGAGCAACGCCGCGUGAGUGAUGAAGGCUUUCGGGUCGUAAAACUCUGUUGUUAGGGAAGAACAAGUGCUAGUUGAAUAAGCUGGCACCUUGACGGUACCUAACCAGAAAGCCACGGCUAACUACGUGCCAGCAGCCGCGGUAAUACGUAGGUGGCAAGCGUUAUCCGAAAUUAUUGGGCCUAAAGCUCGCGCAGGUGGUUUCUUAUUACUGAUGUAACACCCCCGGCU
rnacentral:rRNA from 1 species